GGCAAAGUGACCUGGCCUUCCAUAGCUGUAGCAGGGUUGUGGAUUUUCCGGAGUAGCGGGAUUCUGAAACCCCGAGAAUUGUGAGUUUACCAGACGAGGAGCAUUCAUUGGGUUUCUUGCAAUCCAUGGCUAAGGUGGCCUCUGCUGGAACGAGGGCCUGUAAGCAGGUCGGGGAGGUCCUCGAUAGACAACCCUCAUUCUUUAAGGAGCACUCCCUUAUGCCCCAAAUUAAAUGUUCUUCCUCUUUAAGGACUCCUCCUUUUUAAGGGAUUCAUCCAGUGCCCUCAUCUUCUCCCCUGUCAUGAUCGCAACGCUCACAAUAGAGCUAUAAUUAGCAAAGGUGCAU
rnacentral:lncRNA from 1 species